rnacentral:lncRNA from 10 species
UUAGAAUUUGGCCUACCACAUAACAGAAUUUAUCUUAAAGAUAAAAGCUUUUUAUGAUGUGAUGUAUUACCAUCAUAUUGUAAUUUAUCAUGUUCGCUUAAACCACAAAAUCAGAUAAGAAGCAAAUAAGUCUUGGAGAUUGUGUGCACUCUCUUUCUCUGUCUCUCUUUCUGUCUCUCUCUCUCUCUUUUCACUUGAAACACUCUAUUUGUCCCGCCAAAUUUCAGGAUUAUUCACACAAUUGUAUACUUUAUUACGAAGCAUAUUUUAUUCAGAAUUUCUUCAUAAAUGUAUGAAAGUUAUAAAAGUGUGACAUUUGCUACCAUGGCAGGAAAA